AAAAUAGGUUUGCAUGGUUUAAUUUUCAAAAAACACCACGUUUUUGUUGGACUGCACAAUGCUGUAGAUCAAGUUUUUACCCUGUGUGUUUGGGUCUCUGUUUUAGCCUUAGGGUGAGACCUCUCACUUCGUUACUAUCUUUGUUGGGAGCUGCACAUCCUCAGUAGCUAGGUAAGGACUACUAGCCACUCAG